rnacentral:pre_miRNA from 1 species
CAUAUACUCCCUCCGUCCGGAAAUACUUGUCAUCAAAAUGGAUGAAAAUGGAUGUAUCUAGAACUAAAAUACAUCUAGAUACAUCCAUUUCAAUGACAAGUAUUUCCGGACGGAGGGAGUAUAUA